rnacentral:rRNA from 1 species
GACGAACGCUGGCGGCGCGCUUAACACAUGCAAGUCGAGCGAAGCGGCGGACGGGUGAGUAACACGUGAGUAACCUGCCUUAGACAUUGGGAUAGCUUCGGGAAACCGGGAUUAAUACCAAAUGGUCUAAGAUGGACUCGCGUCCCAUUAGCUAGUUGGCGAGGUAACGGCCCACCAAGGCGACGAUGGGUAGCCGGCCUGGGAGGGUGAACGGCAACCUUGAAACUGAGAAACGGUCCAAACUCUACGGAAGGCAGCAGUAGGGAAUAUUGCACAAUGGAGGGAACUCUGAUGCAGCGACGCCGCGUGAACGAAGAAGGCAUUAAAGUCGUAAAGUUCUUUUAUAUGGGAAGCGGUACCAUAAGAAAAAGCCCCGGCUAACUACGUGCCAGCAGCCGCGGUAAUAC